GAUGAACGCUGGCGGCGCAUUUAAGACAUGCAAGUCGAACGAAAACGAACAAAUUAAGAAGAAUGGAAGAUUUAUCUGAAAUGAUUUUUAGACCGUAAGUUUUAGUGGCGGACGGGUGAGUAAUACAUAGAUAAUCUGCCUUUUAGAGGGAAAUAACUAGGAGAAAUCCAAGCUAAUGUCCCAUAAGACCACAUUAUCGCAUGAUAGAGAGGUCAAAGGAGAAAUCCGCUAGAAGAUGAGUCUAUGGCUGAUUAGUUAGUUGGUGGGGUAAGAGCUUACCAAGACGAUGAUCAGUAGCCGAGCUGAGAGGCUGGCCGGCCACAUUGGGACUGAGACACGGCCCAGACUCCUACGGGAGGCAGCAGUUGGGAAUAUUGGACAAUGGAGGAAACUCUGAUCCAGUGACGCCGCGUGAAGGAAGAAGGUCUUCGGAUUGUAAACUUAUUUUAUCAGGGAAGAAAAAAAUGACAGUACCUGAAGAAGAAGGACCGGCUAACUACGUGCCAGCAGCCGCGGUAAUACGUAGGGUCCGAGCGUUAUCCGGAUUUACUGGGUGUAAAGGGCGAGUAGACGGAACUGCAAGUCAGAUGUGAAAUGCUAGAGCUCAACUUUAGAACUGCAUCUGAAACUGUGGAACUAGAGUGCAGGAGAGGUAAGCGGAAUUCCUAGUGUAGCGGUGAAAUGCGUAGAUAUUAGGAGGAACACCAGUGGCGAAGGCGGCUUACUGGACUGUAACUGACGUUGAGGCGCGAAAGUGUGGGGAGCAAACAGGAUUAGAUACCCUGGUAGUCCACACUGUAAAC
rnacentral:rRNA from 1 species